rnacentral:lncRNA from 1 species
UAGACAUAGGGCCUCCUUUCCCUAGUCGUCUUUUGCCAACAUUAGGGCUCCAAUCCCUGAGUUGAGCUUUUUAGACAUAGGGCCUCCAUUCCCUAGUCGCCUUUUUGCCAACAUUAGGGCUCCAAUCACUGAGUUGAGCUUUUUAGACAUAGGGCCUCCCUUCCCUAGUCGCCUUUUUGCCAACAUUAGGGCUUCAAUCCCUGAGUUGAGCUUUUUAGACAUAGGGCCUCCAUUCCCUAGUCGCUUUUUGCCAACAAUAGGGUUCCAAACCCUGAGUUGAGCUUUUUAGACAUAGGGCCUCCAUUCCCUAGUCGCCUUUUUGCCAACAUUAGGGCUCCAAUCCCUGAGUUGAGCUUUUUAGACAUAGGGUCUCCGUUCCCUAGUCGCCUUUUUCCAACAUUAGGGCUCCAAUCCCUAAGUUGAGCUUUUUAGACAUAGGGCGUCCAUUCCCUAGUCGCCUUUUUGCCAACAAUAGGGCUCCAAUCCCUGAGUUGAGCUUUUUAGACAUAGGGCCUCCAUUCCCUAGUUGCGUUUUUGCCAACAUUAGGGCUCCAAUCCCUGAGUUGAGCUUUUUAGACAUAGGGCCUCCAUUCCCUAGUCGCCUUUUGCCAACAUUAGGGCUCCAAUCCCUGAGUUAAGAUUUUUAGACAUAGGGCCUCCAUUCCCUAGUCGCCUUUUGCCAACAUUAGGGCUCCAAUCCCUGAGUUGAGCCUUUUAGACAUAGGGCCUCCAUUCCCUAGUCGCCUUUUUGCCAACAUUAGGGCUCCAAUCCCUGAGUUGAGCCUUUUAAACAUAGGGUCACCAUUCCCUAGUCGCCUUUUUGCAAACAUUAGGGCUCCAAUCUCUGGAUUGAGCUUUUUAGACAUAGGGCCUCCAUUCCCUAGUCGCCUUUUUGACAACAUUAGGAAUCCAAUCACUGAGUUGAGCUUUUUAGACAUAGGGCCUCCCUUCCCUAGUCGCCUAUUGCCAACAUUAGGGCUCAAAUCCCUAACUUGAGCCUUUUUAGACAUAGGGCCUCCAUUCCCUAGUCGCAUGUUGCCAACAUUCCCUAGUCGCCUGUUGCCAACAUUGGGGCUCCAAUCCCUGAGUUGAGCCUUUUAGACAUAGGGCCUCCAUUCCCUAGUCGCCUUUUUGCCAACAUUAGGGCUUCAAUCCCUGAGUUGAGCCUUUUAGACAUAGGGCCUCCAUUCCCUAGUCGCCGUUUUGCCAACAUUAGGGCUCCAAUCUCUGGAUUGAGCUUUUUAGACAUAGGGCCUCCAUUCCCUAGUCGCCUUUUGCCAAUAUUAGGGCUUCAUUCCCUAAGUUGAGCUUUUUAGACACAGGGCCUCCAUUCCCUAGUCGCCUUUUGCCAACAUUAGGGCUCCAAUCCCUGAGUUGAGCCUUUUAGACAUAGGGCCUCCAUUCCCUAGUCGCCGUUUUGCCAACAUUAGGGCUCCAAUCUCUGGGUUGACCUUUUUAGACAUAGGGCCUCCAUUCCCUAGUCGUCUUUUUGCCAACAUUAGGGCUCCAAUCCCUGAGUUGAGCCUUUUAGACAUAGGGCCUCCAUUCCUUAGUCGCCU